UGUGUCAGCCAGACCAGAGGUGACUCAGCCAUAUUCUGUCAGCAGGUUGUUGUUGGAACCAAACAGGAUGUUGCUGUUUUGUCAUGAAUCUGACACAGGUGCUGAAACUCGUGGCUUAUUCAGUGUCACCACCGGAACCGGAGAUGGAGGAAUUAACGAUAUUCGAGCAGCAUACUAUAACACUCGGCAAAGAUUCCAAGAUGGGGUUUGGCUUUGCGAUAUCAGGAGGCAGAGACCAGCCGAACCCGGACUCAGGGGACACAGCCGUGAUAGUUUCAGAUGUGGUACGGAACGGACCCGCUAUGGGACGGCUGUUCGUCAGAGAUCAGAUCGUCAUGGUCAAUGGCGUGUCAAUGGAGAAUGUCUACUCUACCUUCACCAUCCAGAACCUCAAGUCAUGUGGCAAAACAGCCAACAUAACAGUGAAGCGUCCUCGUAAGAUCCAGCUCCCCGCCAGCACCAGACCCUCGCGUGCUGCCUCUUACUCCAACCUGCUGGACCAGGACCCCCCACAGAGGCCCCGACGCUACUCCGAUGCUAGUGACCAGGCCCACAAAGCUGACCGCAACGGAACCGCUCAUGCCCUACCGCUAAGUUCAGGGUACAAACGGCUCCCACAGCAGGCCUUCCCAGACAAGCCAAUCAAAGCCACCCUGCUGAAGAAGAAACUCACAGACGAGUAUGGACUGAAGUUGGGAAGCCAGAUCUUCAUCAAACACAUGACUGAGACUGGUCUGGCUGCCAAGGAGGGCACUCUGCAGGAGGGAGACCUCAUUCUCAAGAUCAAUGGGAUGACCACAGAGAACCUGUCCCUUCUGGAGACCAAGCACCUUGUGGAGAAGUCCCGGGGAAAGCUGACCAUGAUGGUCCUGCGAGACGACCGCAAGUUCCUGGUCAGCAUCCCAGAAGUGCAGGACAGUGCCCCCAACAGCGAGGAGGACCACCGCGGCAACAGCAGCUCUGAACUGGAGGACAUUUCAGACCUGGAUACAGACAUCCCCACUCCCAGAGACAGAGUGUCACGCUCUGCAACUAGAGAACGACGCACACGCAGAAGAGCUGAUCCUCCUCUAGUAGUUAAGUCACGUGAUCCGUCCCCGGUGCGGUCGACACUGUCCCGGCCUGUUGCUAAAGCCUACCCCUCUCACCGAGCCCUCUCAGAGUCUGAGUCUGACCGUAGUGCAUCACCAACUCCUGUCAGGAAGGACAGCCCAGACCAUGCCAACAAAUACAGAACUCUUUCAGGGCUGUCCACCCUCCCCAACCCCAAAGCCUCACCUGCCGUCUUUGACUGGGUCGCCCCACGUUCCUCCCGUCCCUCCUCCUCCACCUUGAGACCUCGCAAAGUGGUGUCAGAGUCGGACUCGGACCGCAGUGCCUCCCCACCCCCCAGAAGAGGAGAGAGUUCCCGAGUCAUAGAGGACUACUCCAGAUACAGAGUGCUCCCUAACCUGCCCCACCCUAGGACACUGAGAGCCUCCCCCAUCACCAUUCGUCAGGAUCCUCCUCGACGGGUGUCCUCUCCUGUCAAAGCCCCACUCCCAGAUUCUGAAUCUGAGUCAGACAGCAGCUCCGGGCCCGCCCACAGCCAGGACUCCCGGAGCAGAUACAGAGCCACUCCCUUGGUAGCCAUGUUUCCCCAGGUGGAGCCCCCCAAGUGGAAAGCCCCCAGUGUCACAAGGAGCAAUCCUGCUAAAGGGCACUCAGGAUCCGAGUCGGAGGCAAGUUACGCAUCCGUCCCUCGACGGGAGUCUAUAGACAGUGGAGGCUCCAUCUCCAGGGUAUCCAAGAACAGAUACAGAGCUCUGCCUGAGAUGAAGUCUUCUCCAGCUCCAGUAGUGAGACAGGACCCCCCUCGACAAGGCAUGACCUCCUCCAGUCCAGUCUCAGGUUCCUCUGAUUCGGACCGUACACCCUCACCCCCUAGGAGGUCUGGGAGUACAGAUGUGGAGAGAAACCACAGUAUUCCACACAGAGUCAAUGGCAAUGUCCGCACUGGGAUAUCAAUGAAGAGCAACCAUCCAGUCUACUCCAAGACAGAGGAACCCCUCUACUCCCUACCCCCAGACUCCAUUCCUACACCUAACUUGGGCUCAGAUCUGAACACAGUGUCGUUUGUGAAGGAGGGGAGCGUUGGUCUGAGACUGGUGGGAGGCAACGAUGUGGGCAUCUUUGUGGAUGGGGUUCAGCCCAACAGCCCCGCUCAGGAGCAGGGUAUGAAGGAGGGGGACCAGAUCAUGCAGGUGAAUGGGGUGGACUUUGGUUAUUUCAACCGUGAGGAAGCUGCAAUGUUCCUGAUCAACAUCAAGAGAGGGGAGCCGGUCAACAUCCGUACUCAGAACAAGAUGGACAUUUACAAGAAGAUCCUGAAGUCCAACCUGGGGGACUCGUUCUACGUCCGGACCCACUAUGACAAUGUGGCGGAGGGCGACAUCGGCCUAGCCUUCACCAGGGGAGAGGUGUUCAGGGUGGUGGACACCAUGCACAGGGGCAAGCUGGGAAAGUGGCUGGCUAUACGCAUGGGCAACGACCUGCAUGAGCUGGACAAGGGCACCAUCCCCAACCAGGUCAGGGCCGAAACUCUGGCCAGAAUGGAGCAGGCUCAGAGGGCCAGUGGAGAAGGGGAUCGCCAGGUAUCAGGGCCCAGGGUAGAGUUCUGGAAACUACGGGGGCUCAGAGGGGCCAAGAAGAACGUCCGCAGGACUCAUGAUGACCUGCUCCAGCUUACCAUCCAGGGCAAAUUCCCAGCAUAUGAGAGAGUUCUGCUCAGAAAAGCUAAUUUCAAACGGCCAAUCGUCAUCAUGGGUCCUCUGAACGAUGUGGCCAUGGAGAAGCUGGCCAGAGAGAUGCCUGAUGAAUAUGAGGUGGCAGAGAUGGCUCCUCGUAGUAGUGGCGCAGACACUACUUCCACGGUCAUCAAGCUGGACACAGUACAAAGGAUUGCAGAGAAGAACAAGCACCCUCUGCUGGACAUUACUCCUACUGCCGUGGAGCGUCUGAACUACAUCCAGUACCACCCCAUGGUUCUGUUCCUGGACCCACACAGCAGGAAGGACGUCAAGGUCAUGAGGCAGAGGAUGUGCCCCAACUCUAACAAGAGCUCUAGACGCCUCUACACACAGGCCCUCAAGAUGAGGAAGCACUGCAGCCAUCUGUUCACAGCUCGUAUUGAUCUCCAGCCCAGCUCUAAUGUGUGGUAUGAGACUGUGAAAGACAAGAUCAGACACCAGCAGGCCAAACCUGUUUGGGACUCAGAAGUCACGUUGGAGGGAGGCGGAGAGGAGGAGCUGGAUGCAUUGGACCGGACCCACUCGGACUACCUGAGUGCUGCCAGCGAACUGGAGGACACAGACAGAGAGGUCUACACUGAUAAUGAGGACCUGGAGGAACCAUUUGAUCCCAGCAAUCAGCCCCGGAUGUCCAGGGUAACGGCUCUGGCCCGGUCUUCAGAACCUGCCUCUGAGUACCCCUCCCCCGAGUCCCUGAGAGAGGUUCCACCCCUGAUGCAUGUGUCUGAGCCCAGAUCGACCCGUCGUCCAUCUGACAGCCCUCCCCACGUUGACGUUGCUGAUGAAAUCCGACCCUAUCAUAGCUUCUCAGAUUCGGACUUCAGGGCCAUUGACCAGGCUGUUCCGACCACCCCCUCGGACACAGCCCCUGACCCCAGAGUCUCUGUGCGUGAGCCCCCAUUGGCUGAACUGCUGCCAGAGAGCCCCCCAGCUGUCACACUGUCGGUAAUAGAGAAGAAACUUCAACAGGUACUGGUGGGACUGUCACAGUUCAGCAUAGCACAAACUCUUACAGAUCCUCUAACUCGCAGUUUCCUUCCAAAGGCUAAAUUACUCUUAACUUGGUCUCCAGUGAUUUUGACUCAUGACCUCUUUCCCUCUUUCAGACCCGUAUGGCAGAAUCUCAGGAGAGGAAAGCGUCUCCAUUGUUCAUUGUGAUUGCAGCGUUAGAGCAGGACAAUAAGAUGAGUCCCAUUUAACCUGGGCAUUGUGUUUGGCCCCUCUGAUGUGGCCCCGGCCCACUAGGGCCACAGUGUCCCUGUCCUCUCUUGUGGACUACCCCAUCAGGCCCGCAUCAUAGAGACUCUAUAGUCUUUUACACAGCCAUCUUCCAGUCCUCCAGCAGUCACCCAUUCUCCACCCAACAGACUGUCGGUGCAAGUAUAGAUGAGAACAGCAGUGCUGCGGUAGCUGAUGUAGAGGAACAGGAUGCCAAUGAGGAACAGAGCAGAACAGACUGACAAUAUGGAGGGCUGUGGUGAGUCUAACCACACUGUCAAACAGGAGAGCAAGGUCAGCACAGAAGAUGACCAACUGAGCUGCAAGGAUAGCCUGAAACUCUCCAGACAGUCUCUACCUCAGACUGACCUGGUUCCAGGCCAGGAGAGUCCUGGUCCCGAUGCCUUGGACCAUGAGCCCCCAGACCUAGAGGCGUCUGAGCUCAACGUGAAUCAGUCCAACAACCAUGUUGGGGCGGCAGCGUAGCCUAGUGGUUAGAGCGUUGGACUAGUAACCGGAAGGUUGCGAGUUCAAACCCCCGAGCUGACAAGGUACAAAUCUGUCGUUCUGCCCCUGAACAGGCAGUUAACCCACUGUUCCCAGGCCGUCAUUGAAAAUAAGAAUCUGUUCUUAACUGACUUGCCUGGUUAAAUAAAGGUAAAAUUUAAAAAAAUGUUCUGGGCAGGUCAAAGGUUAGUCUGCUGCCCAGGGACAGGGAGCCAGUUUGUGUAAACACAGCCUGUGCAAUGUAUCAACCACAAAGGCUUUACGGUGUGUUAAGUGUACUUCCAGUCUGGUGGAUUUUACCAUGAAUCUUGGUUUUAACUUUGGCAUUAGAAUGUCAUGUAAUACUACACGACACAUUCAUUCAGCUGCCUGUGACUCGAAUGAAUUGCAAAAAUCGCCGAAGUUGGAGACUUAUCUCCCUCAACAAUUUCAAACAUCUGAUCGCUGCAUAGUCUAUCGGUAAAUAGCCCACCCAAUUUUACUUCAUUCCCAUACUGUUUUAUUUACUUUUCUGCUCCUUUGCACACCAAUACCUGUACAUGACCAUCUGAUCAUUUAUCACUCGUGUUAAUCUGCAAAAUUGUAAUUAUUCGCCUACCUCAUGCCUUUUGCACACAAUGUAUAUAGACUCUUUUUUUUCUGUGUUAUUGACUUGUUAAUUGUUUACUCCAUGUGUAACUCUGUUGUCUGUUCACACUGCUAUGCUUUAUCUUGGCCAGGUCGCAGUUGCAAAUGAGAACUUGUUCUCAACGAGCCUACCUGGUUAAAUCAAAAAAUCUUGGACACUUAGUUAUAGCUGUUUUCUGUCAGCAUUAAUUCUAGUUAUAACAAGCUGACUUAAUAUUGAAAAUAAUCUGCCUUACAAAUUGGCAUAGCGAUAAUCUAGUUUAAAAGUAUUUACAUUGCUCUUAUGCUUGAAUAGUGAGUUAUUUGUCGUGUGAUUUAAGAUAAUUAUUCCAGGUAUUCAAAGUGCUGCUGGUUUUUAUUUCAGCACUAAAAUCCAACUUCAUAUCUUAACAGUUAUGUUGGAUGUAUUUGUCUAUGCUGAAUUCACUGUUUUGACAUUGUCAGUAAAGAGAAUGCUAUUAAAUGUUGACUUAUGCCUUGUAAAACAA